rnacentral:tRNA from 1 species
AAAUAAGAAUCAAACAAUUGAACCUAGUUUCGACCUAGACUUAUGAUGAAUUUCAUCCUUAUUUU